rnacentral:rRNA from 1 species
UACAGAGGUCUCAAGCGUUGUUCGGAUUCAUUGGGCGUAAAGGGUGCGUAGGCGGCGCGGUAAGUCGGGUGUGAAAUCUCGGGGCUUAACUCCGAAACUGCAUUCGAUACUGCCGUGCUUGAGGACUGGAGAGGAGACUGGAAUUUACGGUGUAGCGGUGAAAUGCGUAGAUAUCGUAAGGAAGACCAGUGGCGAAGGCGGGUCUCUGGACAGUUCCUGACGCUGAGGCACGAAGGU